AGACAAGGUUAUUUGGAAUUGGAAACAUCUGAGAUUUUCAACUCCGUUCAGCGUUGGUCUGAUAAAUCCUACCUUGAGUUCCCAGCAAUCCACAAUGUGAUAUGAAAGCUUUCGUUUUAGGAUGAGCCAAAAUAUCAUUUUGACGCACCCAUCCCAG